CCUACUCACAAUGAUCUCUGCCUUCCUUGCCUGGUUACCACGGUAAGGAACAUCACUUCUGGUAAUCCAGUCAGAUGCCAUAUGCAGUGUGAGUGGCUGAAUGUAAGCAGAGACUUUUUUCUUUUGACUCAUAUGACAUUGGCUUCAUCUUAGUUUUGCCUGGCAUCCUGAAAAGUCUAUAUGACACAACUUUUUAUGCUUUUCCAGCUCAUUCUUUUCUCAAAUGCUGGACUAAAAAGGCAGCAGUAAUAUUCCCAAAUGCUUUUACUAGACUUCUUCAGAACAUUAGGAGUACUGUAGAUAAUACCAGCUGGAGUCCAAUGGCAGGAUCUUGGCUCACUGCAACCUUUGUCUUUUGAGUUCAAGCGAUUCUCCCGCCUCACCCUCCAGAGUAGCUGGGAUUACAGGGACCUACGUGAGAUUCAGAGAUGAGACACCUUCUGGCUUAUUUCACUGUUGGCAAUGCUGGGAAAUUCCAAGUCACUCAUAAGUAUACACACCAAAAUCAAGUUCUAAAUCACAAACAGAAUAAGAUGAGUAAACAAAGAUGAAAGUGAAGAGGGUGUGGAAUUUUGAAGUGCCAGUGGAUAAAAAGGUGUGCCAUGGGAAGGAGAGAGGAGCAUCCUGGCGACGCUCCUUUCACCGACAAGGUAAAGGAGUGGUUUAUUGAAUUUCUUUCCUCCACAGGUAUUGACAAACCUUGUGGGCUUCAAGCGCUAGCCUAGGACAGAGCAAAGCUGACAACCUGCAAAACUAGUUAGACUGUUGGGACUCAAAGACCAACUGGCAGGAUUUAUGGCACUUUCAUACUCAUGAGUCAAUUUCUUGACACAUUUUGUCUCCUUUUUUGAGCCUGAGGGCAUUUAUUUAAAUAUCUAUUCAUCACUGACAUUUUAGGAUAUUCUAGAAAACAUCAAAGCAGGAAAUCUUGUUGAACAGAAUUUUAAAGCACCAACCCGACCCAAGACAUAACUCUAAUCUCUGAUGCUAGCUAGCACUGAUUUUAAGAAAGUGUGUGCUAAGAGCCUUUCACAGCAGUGUGCCUAUAUAAGAAUCAGAGUAGUGGUGUUGAAUAUGUUUUAAAUGUCUUAUUCAGCAGUUUAAUUAUUUUAGGGCUGUGUGUGUGUGUGUGUAUGUGUGUGUGUGUGUGUGUGUGUAAUCAUACUUAUUUGGCUGUUUUAUUAACCUCAGAAAGGGAUGAGAUUUGUUACACUCAUUGAAAGGAAACCUGGGCUAAAAAGUUGAGAGAUGUGUAUUCCUAUUUUUGUAGCGUCAGGGCUAAGUAUGUCUGUUUUCCAAUCCACAAGGAUGAGUGGAGACAGAGCACAAUAUUUGCCAUUUAUGGCACAGGCAGCUGAGAGUUGCAGUGAAAAAGGCUGAAAAGCUAAACUACAAUGAGGAAGGCUGAGCCAUACUGGCCUCUUGACCUUGUAU